rnacentral:rRNA from 1 species
GAUGAACGCUGGCGGCGUGCCUAAUACAUGCAAGUCGAGCGAACAGACGAGGAGCUUGCUCCUCUGACGUUAGCGGCGGACGGGUGAGUAACACGUGGAUAACCUACCUAUAAGACUGGGAUAACUUCGGGAAACCGGAGCUAAUACCGGAUAAUAUAUUGAACCGCAUGGUUCAAUAGUGAAAUACGGUGUUUCGGUCACUUAUAGAUGGAUCCGCGCCGCAUUAGCUAGUUGGUAAGGUAACGGCUUACCAAGGCAACGAUGCGUAGCCGACCUGAGAGAGUGAUCGGCCACACUGGAACUGAGACACGGUCAAGACUCCUACGGGAGGCAGCAGUAGGGAAUCUUACGCAAUAGGCGAAAGCCUGACGGAGCAACGCCGCGUGAGUGAUGAAGGUCUUCGGAUCGUAAAACUCUGUUAUUAGGGAAGAACAAAUGUGUAAGUAACUAUGCACGUCUUGACGGUACCUAAUCAGAAAGCAACGGCUAACUACGUG